AUACGUAGGUGGCAAGCGUUGUCCGGAAUUAUUGGGCGUAAGGCGCGCGCAGGCGGCCUUUUAAGUCUGAUGUGAAAGCCCACGGCUCAACCGUGGAGGGUCAUUGGAAACUGGAAGGCUUGAGUGCAGAAGAGGAGAGCGGAAUUCCACGUGUAGCGGUGAAAUGCGUAGAGAUGUGGAGGAACACCAGUGGCGAAGGCGGCUCUCUGGUCUGUAACUGACGCUGAGGCGCGAAAGCGUGGGGAGCGAACAGGAUUAGAUACCCUGGUAGUCCACGCCGUAAACGAUGAGUGCUAAGUGUUGGAGGGUUUCCGCCCUUCAGUGCUGCAGCUAACGCAUUAAGCACUCCGCCUGGGGAGUACGGCCGCAAGGCUGAA
rnacentral:rRNA from 1 species